GCUGGGUGUGGUGAUGCACGCCUGUAAUCCCAGCUACCCAGGAGGCUGAGGCAGGAGAAUCACUUGAACCUGAGAGAUGGAGGUUGCAGUGAGCCGAGAUUGUGCCAUUACACUCCAGCCUGGCCACAGAGUGAGACUCUGUCUGAAAAAAAAAAUCUACUAAUUUUUGUAUUUUUAAAAUUUAAUUUUUUUCUUUUUGAGGCAGAGUCUUGCUCUGUCGCCCAGGCUGGAGUGCAGUGGCAUGAUCUCAGCUCACUGCAACUUCUACCUCCCGGGUUCAAGAGAUUCUCCUGCCUCAG
rnacentral:SRP_RNA from 2 species